GAUGAACGCUGGCGGCGUGCCUAAUACAUGCAAGUCGAGCGAACAGAUAAGGAGCUUGCUCCUUUGACGUUAGCGGCGGACGGGUGAGUAACACGUGGGUAACCUACCUAUAAGACUGGGAUAACUUCGGGAAACCGGAGCUAAUACCGGAUAACAUUUGGAACCGCAUGGUUCUAAAGUGAAAGAUGGUUUUGCUAUCACUUAUAGAUGGACCCGCGCCGUAUUAGCUAGUUGGUAAGGUAACGGCUUACCAAGGCGACGAUACGUAGCCGACCUGAGAGGGUGAUCGGCCACACUGGAACUGAGACACGGUCCAGACUCCUACGGGAGGCAGCGGUAGGGAAUCUUCCGCAAUGGGCGAAAGCCUGACGGAGCAACGCCGCGUGAGUGAUGAAGGGUUUCGGCUCGUAAAACUCUGUUAUUAGGGAAGAACAAAUGUGUAAGUAACUGUGCACGUCUUGACGGUACCUAAUCAGAAAGCCACGGCUAACUACGUG
rnacentral:rRNA from 1 species